UUAAAACCCAUUCUGAGCUCUCACAAUCUGUCAACAGUGUUCAUUGGACAUCUACGCUAUACCAGACACCAUCCUUGAAGUAGGAAAUGCAGCAAUGAACAAGACAGUUGGUCCACCACCAGGGCAAGUGUACCUUCAGGAAACAAUGAACAAUUCCCCAUCAUUACCAGUGGCAUCGCUAAUGUAAAGGCAGAAGAGCUCAUGACAGGUUCCCCCACAGGGGGCCCUAAAAUGCAACUGGCAAACUGAAACAGUAAUGCCAAACAUGAGCCUACCUUGGAAUUAGCCCAAACAGCUUGGUACAGCAUCCAAACAAGACCACAGUACAGCAUCCAAGCAAGACUACUACAAUCAAGAUUAUGGUACAUUUCCAUCACACUGAAAAGUUCUCUUAUGCUCUUUUGCAGACAAUCUCCUUCUCCCACACCUGGACCCUGACAACCACUAAUAUGCUUUCCAUCUCUACAAUUUUGCCUUUUAGUUGCCAUUUCAUAUAAAUGGCAUCAUACUAUACAUACUCUUUUGUGUCCAUCUUUUUUCACUUAACAUAAUGCUGA